rfam:Callithrix jacchus chromosome 1, whole genome shotgun sequence
AUACUUACCUGGCAGGGGAGAUACCAUGAUCACGAAAGUAGUUUUCCCAGGGCGAGGCUUAUCCAUUGCACUCCAGAUGUGCUGACCCCUGCAAUUUCCCCAAGUGUGAGAAACUAGACUGCAUCAUUUGUGGUAGUGGGGGACUGCAUUUGUACUUUCCCCUG